ACUUAAAUUGAAGAGUUUGAUCAUGGCUCAGAUUGAACGCUGGCGGCAGGCCUAACACAUGCAAGUCGAGCGGUAGCACAGAGAGCUUGCUCUCGGGUGACGAGCGGCGGACGGGUGAGUAAUGUCUGGGAAACUGCCUGAUGGAGGGGGAUAACUACUGGAAACGGUAGCUAAUACCGCAUAAUGUCGCAAGACCAAAGUGGGGGACCUUCGGGCCUCAUGCCAUCAGAUGUGCCCAGAUGGGAUUAGCUAGUAGGUGGGGUAACGGCUCACCUAGGCGACGAUCCCUAGCUGGUCUGAGAGGAUGACCAGCCACACUGGAACUGAGACACGGUCCAGACUCCUACGGGAGGCAGCAGUGGGGAAUAUUGCACAAUGGGCGCAAGCCUGAUGCAGCCAUGCCGCGUGUGUGAAGAAGGCCUUCGGGUUGUAAAGCACUUUCAGCGGGGAGGAAGGCGAUAAGGUUAAUAACCUCAUCGAUUGACGUUACCCGCAGAAGAAGCACCGGCUAACUCCGUGCCAGCAGCCGCGGUAAUACGGAGGGUGCAAGCGUUAAUCGGAAUUACUGGGCGUAAAGCGCACGCAGGCGGUCUGUCAAGUCGGAUGUGAAAUCCCCGGGCUCAACCUGGGAACUGCAUUCGAAACUGGCAGGCUAGAGUCUUGUAGAGGGGGGUAGAAUUCCAGGUGUAGCGGUGAAAUGCGUAGAGAUCUGGAGGAAUACCGGUGGCGAAGGCGGCCCCCUGGACAAAGACUGACGCUCAGGUGCGAAAGCGUGGGGAGCAAACAGGAUUAGAUACCCUGGUAGUCCACGCCGUAAACGAUGUCGAUUUGGAGGUUGUGCCCUUGAGGCGUGGCUUCCGGAGCUAACGCGUUAAAUCGACCGCCUGGGGAGUACGGCCGCAAGGUUAAAACUCAAAUGAAUUGACGGGGGCCCGCACAAGCGGUGGAGCAUGUGGUUUAAUUCGAUGCAACGCGAAGAACCUUACCUGGUCUUGACAUCCACAGAACUUUCCAGAGAUGGAUUGGUGCCUUCGGGAACUGUGAGACAGGUGCUGCAUGGCUGUCGUCAGCUCGUGUUGUGAAAUGUUGGGUUAAGUCCCGCAACGAGCGCAACCCUUAUCCUUUGUUGCCAGCGGUUAGGCCGGGAACUCAAAGGAGACUGCCAGUGAUAAACUGGAGGAAGGUGGGGAUGACGUCAAGUCAUCAUGGCCCUUACGACCAGGGCUACACACGUGCUACAAUGGCAUAUACAAAGAGAAGCGACCUCGCGAGAGCAAGCGGACCUCAUAAAGUAUGUCGUAGUCCGGAUUGGAGUCUGCAACUCGACUCCAUGAAGUCGGAAUCGCUAGUAAUCGUAGAUCAGAAUGCUACGGUGAAUACGUUCCCGGGCCUUGUACACACCGCCCGUCACACCAUGGGAGUGGGUUGCAAAAGAAGUAGGUAGCUUAACCUUCGGGAGGGCGCUUACCACUUUGUGAUUCAUGACUGGGGUGAAGUCGUAACAAGGUAACCGUAGGGGAACCUGCGGUUGGAUCACCUCCUUACCUUAAAGAA
rnacentral:rRNA from 1 species